CUCGCCCAUUGGUCGCCACACUGGAAAGGGGCGAGUCUUCCGGGAGCAAGUCUCAGAUCUCACGAGAGUGUGGCGGCCCGGCGUUUCGAGUGGAAUUCCGAACCCACCCCCGGGAGCCCUCCCGAGUCCCAGCCCGAAUCGGAGCGCGGGGCGGAGUCUGCACCGCCCGUCAGCCCGCCCUGAGCAUCCGCUCGCUGGUUGACGCCCCUCCGGGUGGGAUCGAGCGGUUGGGGGAAUCUGAGAGCCUGAGAAAGGUCACGCGGAAGCCUGUGUGUGCGUGGUACUUAGGUUAUAUACAGAAGGGUAAACUCCAUCCCGAGGACCCGGUGACUUUGGGCAGAUCUGAGAAUAUGGCAUUUAAUAUAAAAGCUUUUUUAUCAUAAAGAGACAUGUCAGCUCCUGGCAGCAUCCUGCAUCUCCUCCAAGAAGACGGAUGGCCACAGAAGAACCUCCACCCGAAGCUCCAUGGCAAGGCUGGCUACGCAGUGAAAAGCUGAGAUCCUGUCCAGAUUGAACAAGUGGAACAAUGGAGGACCAAUUGCCCCAUACUGCAAAGUCAAGAUUCACUGUUCCCACCUGACCUCCAGAGAAAUAGCAGAUGCCAUGGCUUCUCUACUCCUGAUUUGGAGUGUCUCUUCCCCCCAAGCUCCUGGAACACCACUGCUGCAACCUGCCUCCUCAGCUCCCUCAGGGAACAUUCCUGAGAUCUGCUAUACGUGACUCCUGGUUCCCCCGUCCCUACUUCGCCCCUUGUCAGCUUGAAGUAGCCUUGAGAAUUCAGGGCCCUUGUUCCCCCACUUUCUUCCCUAAUUCACCUCUUUUUAUAAUAAUUAAAAUGUAGGAAUGUUAA